CAGUCGCCGCGGUAAUACGUAGGGUGCGAGCGUUAAUCGGAAUUACUGGGCGUAAAGCGUGCGCAGGCGGUUGUGCAAGACAGGUGUGAAAUCCCCGGGCUUAACCUGGGAACUGCGCUUGUGACUGCACAGCUAGAGUAUGGCAGAGGGGGGCGGAAUUCCACGUGUAGCAGUGAAAUGCGUAGAGAUGUGGAGGAACACCGAUGGCGAAGGCAGCCCCCUGGGCCAAUACUGACGCUCAUGCACGAAAGCGUGGGGAGCAAACAGGAUUAGAUACCCCUGUAGUCCCUGUCUCUUAUAC
rnacentral:rRNA from 1 species